GUCUGAAGUUUAAGCAGACUGUGAAAGACACUUUACAAGGACUUUAAAUGAGUCAAGAACCUCUUUUCAUGACAAGCAGUGCAACGAGUUCUCACAGCGUGGUCGGCAUGAUUGGUAUGUGAUACAAAGAUGAAGAUGCUUCACAAGAUUGCUCCAGCAAUAAAUGCCCGUUUCAAAGAA